GAUGAACGCUAGCGGCAGGCCUAAUACAUGCAAGUCGAACGGUGUCUUCGGACAUAGUGGCGCACGGGUGCGUAACACGUAUGCAACCUACCUUACAUUGGGGGAUAGCCCUUCGAAAGGGAGAUUAAUACCGCAUAAGACAGUAGCUGGGCAUCCAGCAGCUGUUAAAGAUUUAUCGAUGUAAGCUGGGCAUGCGUCCAAUUAGCUAGUUGGUGAGGUAACGGCUCACCAAGGCAAUGAUUGGUAGGGGAACUGAGAGGUCAAUCCCCCACACUGGCACUGAGAUACGGGCCAGACUCCUACGGGAGGCAGCAGUAGGGAAUAUUGGGCAAUGGACGCAAGUCUGACCCAGCCAUGCCGCGUGCAGGAUGAAGGCGUUAUGCGUUGUAAACUGCUUUUAUACAGGAAGAAACGACUCUUGCGAGAGGCAUUGACGGUACUGUAUGAAUAAGCACCGGCUAACUCCGUGCCAGCAGCCGCAGUAAUAC
rnacentral:rRNA from 1 species